ensembl:snoRNA
AGGCAACACUCCGGGACAGAUUAUUGAACUGUCUGUCACAAUUUGAGCUUGCUACAGCAAGAAAGUCGAUUCUAUUCUGGUAUUCUCUCCUCUGAGACCUGGCAGAUUAUUAACUUUAGCAUU